rnacentral:rRNA from 1 species
AGUGAACGCUGGCGGUAGGCCUAACACAUGCAAGUCGAACGGCAGCACAGUAAGAGCUUGCUCUUACGGGUGGCGAGUGGCGGACGGGUGAGGAAUACAUCGGAAUCUACUUUUUCGUGGGGGAUAAUGUAGGGAAACUUACGCUAAUACCGCAUACGACCUACGGGUGAAAGCAGGGGAUCUUCGGACCUUGCGCGAUUGAAUGAGCCGAUGUCGGAUUAGCUAGUUGGCGGGGUAAAGGCCCACCAAGGCGACGAUCCGUAGCUGGUCUGAGAGGAUGAUCAGCCACACUGGAACUGAGACACGGUCCAGACUCCUACGGGAGGCGGCAGUGGGGAAUAUUGGACAAUGGGCGCAAGCCUGAUCCAGCCAUACCGCGUGGGUGAAGAAGGCCUUCGGGUUGUAAAGCCCUUUUGUUGGGAAAGAAAAGCAGCAGGUUAAUACCCCGCUGUUCUGACGGUACCCAAAGAAUAAGCAUCGGCUAACUUCGUG